rnacentral:lncRNA from 1 species
UCUAUUUCUCCUAUUAGUUCAACAGAAAAAAGUACCUUUACAAAAAUGUAUGCUUCUUUCGAAGGCAGAUUGUGAGCGUAAAUAAACGGUGACCCCAUUUUUUAAUAAUUUUUUUUCUAUUUAGUAUAAGAUAAAGUUUAUUUAUAGAAAAAUAUAGCAAAAUCCUAUAUUAAGACAAAAAAAUGAUUUAGACCCGCGAGCC